rnacentral:rRNA from 1 species
UACGUAGGUGGCAAGCGUUGUCCGGAAUUAUUGGGCGUAAAGCGCGCGCAGGUGGGUCCUUAAGUCUGAUGUGAAAGCCCACGGCUCAACCGUGGAGGGUCAUUGGAAACUGGGGAACUUGAGUGCAGAAGAGGAAAGUGGAAUUCCAAGUGUAGCGGUGAAAUGCGUAGAGAUUUGGAGGAACGCCAGUGGCGAAGGCGACUUUCUGGUCUGUAACUGACACUGAGGCGCGAAAGCGUGGGGAGCAAACAGG